CGGCAAAAGCUCAAAUUUGAAAUCUAGCACUUUCAGUGUUCGAGUUGUAAUUUGAAGAAGGUAACUUUGGAAUUGGCUCUUGUCUAUGUUCCUUGGAACAGGACGUCACAGAGGGUGAGAAUCCCGUGCGAUGAGAUGUCCAAUUCUAUGUAAAGUGCUUUCGAA
rnacentral:rRNA from 1 species